GUGAAAGAGAAAAGUAACUGGGACUGAGAGAAAGAGUUGAAGAAAUGGAACCUAAAGGAAGGGCCGCCUGAGAGGGCAUGAUGAGAGACUCAACGUAAUUGGAGGGAUCAGGGAAGACCUCUCUGAGAAAGUGACAUUUAAGCAGAGACUUUAAGGAGCAGGAAUUGUCUAAAUGAAGAGUGGAGGGUGGAGUAUUCCAGACAGGAAUAACUUACGAGAAGGUCCUGACAGAGAGGAGCUUGGGGGAGUUGAAGGUACUGAAAAGCCAAUGUGGGAGACAAGGAAGAGCCUGGCAAGGUAAGCAGGGAAUAAAUCCUGCAGGGCCUUGUGGACCAUGGUAAGGGUUUCUUUCUUCAUCUUAAGAGGAUUGGGAAGGCUUGAAGACUUUAAACAGGGAAGCUGGCGUGAUCAGAUGUGUAUUUUAAAAGCCCCUCCUGCCUCUCUGUAAAAGAAGCAGAAUGACAAGAGGCUCACAGACUUCUCUGAAUCUCCCACUAAACUGUAAGCUCUUGAGGGCAGAAACUGUGUCUUAUUAAUGAUUGUAUCCACAGAGUCCAGCAUUGCACCUGACUCAUAGCAGAUGCUCAGUAUUUCUUUAAUGAAUUGAAUAAAUGGAUGGUGGAGCCAGAAUUUCAACUUAGUUUUUUAAGAAAGAUUCAGCUCAAGUAUCAACAUCCUCCUCCUCCUCCCACCCCCUACUUUCAAAGACCACCUCUUUACCCCCAUCUUAGACUGGAUUUGAUAUCCCUCCUUUUGCCUCCAGUGCAUCUGUGGUUGAUUGUACUUCCCAGAAACAGCCACAAUAUCUCACACCCCACAUGUUUUUCUGACAGUGUGACUUUGACACUCAUACUACUGAGAGGUGAGGUGUAGUUCCCUCCCUUUGGAUUUGAGGCUAGGUCAUAAAAGGUGAUUCAGCUUCUGCCUGGUCCUUGGGAUGCUCACUUUUGGAACUCAGACACUGUGUGAGGAAAACCAAGCUGCCCGUGGAGAGGCCCACAUGGAGAACCAAAAACUAGCAUCAACUUGCCAGCCAUCUGAAUGAGCCAUCUUGGAAGUACAUCCUCCAGCUCCCAAUCAGUCCACGCCAGCUGACAUUUUCUGCAGUGGCAAUGAGCUGUCCCCACUGAACCCUGCCCAAAUUGAAGAUUCAUUAGCAAAAUAAAUGAUGGUGUUUAAGCCACUAAAUUUUGGGGUGGUUUGUUAAGCAGUGAUAGAUAACUGGAACAGUAUCCUGUUUGUCAUGCAGAGAGGUGGCAUAACUCAGUGGUUGAGUAGGCUGUAGAGUACAACUGCCUUGGUUCAAAGCCCAGCUCUGCUACUUACUAGUUGCAUGACUUUUGGCAAGUUACUUAACCAUUCUGUGCCCCAGUUUCCUUAUAUUUUUAUGGUAUAGAUAAAAAUGGUACCUACUUAAGUUUGCUGGGAGGAUAAAGUGAUUUUAUGCAGGUAGAUGCAGAUCUACAGAUAAUGCAGAUCAAUCACUGUGAUCACCUCCUCAGACAGACUUCUAAUCACUUGACCAUCACUCUCAUGUGAUUCUGUCUUUGUCUUUAUAGCUUUUAGUUCUAUCUGAAGUGAUCAUGUCUACUCAUUUGUUUAUUGUCACUUUUAUUCUACCAGAGUGUAAGCUCCAGUAAAUCAGCAACCUUGCCUGUCUCAUUUCCUGCUGCAUCCCUAGUACCUGGAACAGUGCCUGGCACAAAGUGCUUAACUUUUUUUUUUUUUUUGGUGAAUGGAUGAAUAGCACUUAUCACACUUGUGGAAGACAUCAUUAGUUCUUACCCAGCAUCCAUUCUCUCCUUCCACUCCUUCCAUAGCAGUAGACCCUGGUUUUUUUUGGAUGUCAAUAUACUCGCUGUUCCAGACUGCUUGCAGCGAGGGGUGGUUAUGUAACACAUUUCUGGUCAGUGAAACAUAAUCAAAGGUCUGCCAAGGAUAUCUGGAAAAAAUUUUGCCUUCUUGAUGGUAGGCACUGCUCUUUCUUCUCUCUACUUGCCCUUUUCCUUGCCUGCAGUACAGGCUGGAAGUAGAGCAGCCAAGAAGGUGAUAAGGAAGAGGACAAAAAUGAGAAACAGGAGAAGCCUGAGACAUUGUUGUUCUAGUGGAGUUGCUACAUCACUAACUCCAGACCUCUUUGUUCUGUAAGAAAAAUUAACCCUUUGUAGUUAAGCCAUAGCAGUCAGACUUCUGUUACCUGCAGCCAAAUACAUUCUCAACUGAUACACUAUGGUAGAGUAGUAUCUACCCCUCUAGGCUGUCCCUUACGAGCAAGCUUAUAUAUUUUAUCUUCCCUACUACUGCACAGAAGCAUCAGAAAAAUUCAGCAGCACAGAUAUCACUCACUCUCCACAUCCUUCCAGCUCUCUUCAAAUAGUGAAUGUGUUUAGGUAGCAUGGGACUUUGCAUUAUCUGAAUCUGUUUGGCUCCUGAGUUCAGACAGUGAGAUUUCAAACAGUGCAGGUUACCUGUACUAUUCAUUCCUAAAGUAAACAUUCAUUUAUUGCCACUCUAUGCCAGACACAAUAUUGAGAUUCCAGCUCAUAGUGACCCAUAGGACAGAGUAGAACUGCCCCAUAGGGUUUCCAAGACUGUAAUCUUUACUGGAGCAGAUUGCCAGGUCUUUCUCCUGCGGAACCACUGGAUGGGUUUGAACUGCAACCUUUUGGUUAGCAGCAAAGCACUUAACCAUUGUGCAACCAAGGCUCCUUAUUGGGACUAUAGUGAUGAUUUAGUCGAAUGAUUGAAGCUGGAUGCCUGCAUUCCUACUGAACAUUAAGCUUCCAAAGGGUGGGAACUAUGCUGCUUCCCAAUAAGGGAGAGACAUAAUUCUUGCAGUCUCUACCUCUACCAUCUUGUUCCUCAUCUCAACCUUCUUUACUACCUAUGCCUCACUUCACUUAUUCAUUCACAUCUUUUUUUUUUUUUUUAUUGCUUCCCACAUGCCUAGAAUACCCAGCACUUGGACUGCAUAUGUUUGUACUUUGAAUGCCCAAUCUUUGCCUUCCCAGGUAAAGAUUAAUUCAGGUUUCAAAUUUUGUGUGCUUUUUCUACAACUAAACUUUCAUGUGCUCUUGCUGAUCGGUCAUAAAGAGGCUGUUCUACCAAUAUCACAUCUAUGUGGUCUCCCUAAACUGAGCUGUGGGGGCUGGGUAUACUAACCUUAUCCUGAUGUCAUGACUGAGUAUUAUGGUACCAAAUUCAAACGAUGGAUUCCCCUCGCUCAGCUUCAGGGUAUGUCCAUAUCAAAAUUUGGAACAGUGGUAAAAUGUGUCAGACUAGUCAUAAACUUAGCCCCUAAUGCUUUAGGAAGUUCUGCCACAGCAACAGGUGGGUAUAAGCCAGGUGGAGACAGACCAUUGAGUCAGGUGCCAGGAAUCCUAGGACCACAUUAUAUUAUCAAUUUUGGUAUUUUACUUUUGAGGGCCUUUAUUGUUAUUUAUAUGUGUAUGUACUAUUUCAAGGGGAGGGAGUUGAGCCAUUUUGAGAAUCUGAUGGAAAUUUUAGCACCUUUCUCUAAAAUAAUAUAUACAUAUGUAAGCACAUGUGUGUGUAUGCACACACACAUGUGCACACACACAUUUGGAAACAGUUUCAGGAGGUCCAGGUUAAGAAUCCACCUGUGACUUGCCACAAAGGUAAACUUUCAGUACCAUAUAUUUGGUCCUUUAUAAUGUACUGUUUUCAUUUACCUUUUUGUGUGUGUAUAUUUUAUCCCAGUGAGUGGGCAAGCUUCCUACAAAGGCCUAGGAAUUGAGACCUUUUAUGCCUUUAUAUCUCCCCCAGUGAUGUGUACAUGUAGGGAACCCAGCUUGUAGGAAGUAUUUACUGGUUGAGUCCUUUGAAGCUGCUGUGGUUUACUAAGGACAGGCAGCUUUCCUUUCAACACUACCUCGCUCCAACCAAAAGAGAUCACUACAAGAGGACUUGGACCCCAUACUCAUGUUCUAUUUACAUUCUAGGUUUUAGGCCAAGGCAUUGUUUACAUACCCCUCAUGCAAAUAUCCAGUCUUGGAUAGUUAGAGAACAACACAGGGCCUAGU